rnacentral:rRNA from 1 species
UGCGCAGAUAUCGGGAGGAACACCCUUGGCGAAAGCGGCCUUCUGGAGCAUUCCUGACGCUCAGACGAGAAAACUAGAGUAGCACACGGGAUUAGAGACCCCGGUAGUCUUAGCUGUAAACGAUGUGAACUUUGCGUCGGUGGGAUUAAAUCCAUCGGUGUCGUAGCUACCGCGAUAAGUUCCCCGCCUGAGGAUUACGCCCGCAAGGUUAAAACUCAACGGAAUUGAGGGGGACCCGCUCAGUGCAUCGAGAGCGUGUGGUUUAAUUCGUUCCUACAGGAAGAACCUUACCUGGGUUUGACAUAUAGGGUGUAGGGAACUGAAAAGGGACCGACCCUUGGGGGGGGCCUAUACAGGUGUUCCAUGGCUGUCGUCAGCUCGUGUCGUGAGAUGUUCGGUUAACUCCGCUAACGAGCGCAACCCUCGCCGUAUGUUAUGUGUCUCAUACGGGACUGCCGGUAACAACCCGGAGGGAAGGUGGGGAUGAUCUCAAUUCACCAUGCCCUUUAUCUCCAGGGCUCCACACGCGUUCCAAUGGUCUGUACAAUGGGUAGCCAAGCCGGGAGGCGGAGCCAUUCCUGAAAGCAGGCCUCAGUUCAGAUUGCAGUCUGCAA